UACGGAGGGGGCUAGCGUUGUUCGGAAUUACUGGGCGUAAAGCGCGCGUAGGCGGCUUUGUAAGUUAGAGGUGAAAGCCCGGAGCUUAACUCCGGAACUGCCUUUAAGACUGCAUCGCUAGAAUUGUGGAGAGGUAAGUGGAAUUCCGAGUGUAGAGGUGAAAUUCGUAGAUAUUCGGAAGAACACCAGUGGCGAAGGCGGCUCACUGGUCCGGUACUGACGCUGAGGUGCGAAAGCGUGGGGAGCAAACAGG
rnacentral:rRNA from 1 species